CCUACGGGCGGCAGCAGUGAGGAAUAUUGGUCAAUGGGCGGGAGCCUGAACCAGCCAAGUCGCGUGCGGGACGACGGUCCUAUGGAUUGUAAACCUCUUUUGUCGGGGAACAAAGGCGCCCACGGGUGGGCGGAUGCGUGUACCCGAAGAAAAAGCAUCGGCUAACUCCGUGCCAGCAGCCGCGGUAAUACGGAGGAUUCAAGCGUUAUCCGGAUUUAUUGGGUUUAAAGGGUGCGGAGGCGGUCGCAUAAGUUAGAGGUGAAAUCCCGAGGCUCAACUUCGGAAUUGCCGCUGCUACGGUGCGGCUAGAGAGUAGUUGCGGUAGGCGGAAUGUAUGGUGUAGCGGUGAAAUGCUUAGAGAUCAUACAGAACACCGAUUGCGAAGGCAGCUUACCAAGCUACUUCUGACGUUGAGGCACGAAAGCGUGGGGAGCAAACAGGAUUAGAUACCCCGGUAGUC
rnacentral:rRNA from 1 species